rnacentral:lncRNA from 1 species
AUAGGUCUGCGUGGACACGUCGUCGUCACCCAAGGUCCAUAGCUCGCCCUAGGACCCGUCCCCGCAGGUGACGGGGCACCUACAUCCGUAGGCCCAGGUGUGACCCGCACGGUACCGUGUCCAGAGGACCACUGCGGCCCCGAAGCUCCUCGGCUCUGCCUGGUCAUCUCUCUGUCCUUCCAGCCCUGGCAGCACUGACCUGUUUCCUGUCUCCUUAGUUUCGCCUUUUCCAGAACGUCGGGUAGUUGGAAGCUACAGCAUGUGGCCUCUUCAGGCCUCAGCAAUGUGCACCCAAGCUUCCUCCGAUUCCUCUCAUGGCCUGAAGGUUCCUCCUUGUUCCCACUGAAGCUACCCGGCUGCCCGGAUGAUGCUUCAUUCUUAAGCAUGGAACUUCCCCGGCCUCCCAAGGAAACAGGAACCCCGUGCACUAAGAGCGUGCCCAGUGCCGAGUCUCGGACGCGGACCCCACAAAGUCCCCUGACGUCCACGCUGCCUGGGAGACAGGAAGCAGAAAAAGAAGAGGAUGAGGAAGCUGAAGUUUGGAAAAUUCAAGUAAAUCGCCAAAACCCUUCUGCCGCUCCUGUUUCUGAGGCUGUGAACAAACCUUCACCUGUCCCGGGUCUUUACUGCCUUGAGGUUGUAAGAUUUGUCUUGUGCUUCCAGCUUCUCAGAAAACUUCCCUAGUGGGAUGAGCCCUAAAAGUGACACAAUCACCUUGACCAUCAGCACUACGGGCGUCUG